CUAAUUAGCGAUUUCAUCCACUCUACGCGCGGGAAGCACAAGCGACAACGCCCCAGUAGCAAAUUUACACGAUGGAGUGCGGUCGAUUUUGUGUGUGGUUGGGGCUGGAAUAUUACUCUUUAUCAGUUUGUCUCUUUGGAAUAAUAUUCAGAUGCAGAACUGUUGUUGAUGUUGAAAUUGCAGAUGCGAAAACACGAUGUAACGAAACCGAGGGAAAAUCUACAGCUUUCUUAAACCCUUGUUAGAAGUUGACAAGGCAGUAUACUACUUCACCAAGAGAAAUUCGUCUGAGUGAGAUAGAAGCCUAUCAAGUCCAGCAAAGCAACUUUCCCCAACACUGAUUGAAAGUUAGCAAGACAGUACAUCAUUUCAUCAAAAGUAUUGCCUCGUCAUUUGCCUGGUAUUCAUCACUGAUUGAGAUAAAAGCCUAUCGAGUCUGGUCAGAAAAGUAACCUUUUAAUUAAGAGACUGCUUGAACGUUAGAAAGACAGUACAUCACUUUAAUCAAAAGAAUUUCGUCGUGGUCAAUUGUCUGGUAUUCAUCA